rnacentral:misc_RNA from 1 species
AAAUGCGAUAAGUAGUGUGAAUUGCAGAAUUCAGUGAAUCAUCGAAUCUCUGAACGCACAUUGCGCCCUAUGGUAUUCCGUAGGGCAUGCCUGUUCGAGCGUCAUUUACACCUUCAAGCCUUGCUUGGUGUUGGGUGACUGUGGCCCCUUUGGGGCCACUCGCCUUAAAGUCAUUGGCGGCCGGUUCGUUGGCUUUGUAGCGCAGCACAAUUGCGUCCUCGAAGCCGCUGGACCAGCUCCCAGAAGCUAAUUUUAAAUGUUUGACCUCGAAUCAGGUAGGGAUACCCGCUGAACUUAAGC